rnacentral:rRNA from 1 species
AUUGAACGCUGGCGGAAUGCUCUACACAUGCAAGUCGAACGGCAGCACGGACUUCGGUCUGGUGGCGAGUGGCGAACGGGUGAGUAAUGUAUCGGAACGUGCCCAGUCGUGGGGGAUAACGUAGUGAAAAUUACGCUAAUACCGCAUACGAUCUAUGGAUGAAAGCGGGGGAUCGCAAGACCUCGCGCGAUUGGAGCGGCCGAUAUCGGAUUAGGUAGUUGGGGGGGUAAAGGCCUACCAAGCCAACGAUCUGUAGCGGGUCUGAGAGGACGACCAACCACACUGGAACUGAGACACGGCCCAGACUCCUACGGGAGGCAGCAGGGGGGAAUUUUGGACAAUGGGCGAAAGCCUGAUUCAGCCAUUCCGCGUGCAGGAUGAAGGCCCUCGGGUUGUAAACUGCUUUUGUACAGAACGAAAAGGUUUCUACUAAUACUAGGAGCUCAUGACGGUACUGUAAGAAUAAGCACCGGCUAACUACGUGCCAGCCGCCGCAGUAA